GAGUUUGAUUAUGGCUCAGGAUGAACGCUGGCGGCGUGCCUAAUACAUGCAAGUCGUGCGGGCCUUUAAUGAUUCUUUUUACGGUUUGCGGCAACUACUCAUCGGCUGAUGAGUGAUUGCUGCAGACCGAAUCAACUGGCUAGCGGCGGACGGGUGAGUAUCGCGUGGGAACGUACCCCAGACUGAGGGAUAAGCUCCAGAAAUGGAGUCUAAUACCGCAUAACCUCUACGGAGAAAAGCUUCGGCGGUUUGGGAACGGCCUGCGUCCGAUUAGCUUGUUGGUAAGGUAAUGGCUUACCAAGGCGAUGAUCGGUAGCUGGUCUGAGAGGAUGAUCAGCCACACUGGAACUGAGACACGGUCCAGACUCCUACGGGAGGCAGCAGUAGGGAAUCUUCCCCAAUGGACGAAAGUCUGAUGGAGCAACGCCGCGUGCAGGAUGAAGGCUUUCGGGUCGUAAACUGCUUUUUAUGGGGUGACGAUUAUGGACGGUAACCCAUGAAUAAAGGAUCGGCUAAUUCCGUGCCAGCAGCCCGCGGUCAUACGGAAAGAUCAAGCCGUUAUCCGGAA
rnacentral:rRNA from 1 species